rnacentral:rRNA from 1 species
CAAUAGCGUAUAUUAAAGUUGUUGCAGUUAAAAAGCUCGUAGUUGGGUUUCUGUGAGAGUGCCGGUGUCGGCUGAUGCUUGUACGCAGGCGCUCUUACAUCCUUCUGUUAACUGUUCUUGGCAUUUUAUUGCUGGUUCAGGGCUCAGAUAUUUUACCUUGAGAAAAUUAGAGUGUUUCAGGCAGGCUUAUGCCGGAAUACAUUAGCAUGGAAUAAUGGAACAGGACCUGUGCGUCUCUCGGGGCGCCGGUCUCCGUUGUUGGUUUCGGGGACUAAUGUAAUGAUUAAUAGGGAUAGUUGGGGGCAUUAGUAUUUAAUAGUCAGAGGUGAAAUUCUCGGAUUUGUUAAAGACUAACUUAUGCGAAAGCAUUUGCCAAGGAUGUUUUCAUUAA